GCUCAGGAUGAACGCUGGCGGCGUGCCUAAUACAUGCAAGUCGAACGAGUUCUCGUUGAUGAUCGGUGCUUGCACCGAGAUUCAACAUGGAACGAGUGGCGGACGGGUGAGUAACACGUGGGUAACCUGCCCUUAAGUGGGGGAUAACAUUUGGAAACAGAUGCUAAUACCGCAUAGAUCCAAGAACCGCAUGGUUCUUGGCUGAAAGAUGGCGUAAGCUAUCGCUUUUGGAUGGACCCGCGGCGUAUUAGCUAGUUGGUGAGGUAAUGGCUCACCAAGGCGAUGAUACGUAGCCGAACUGAGAGGUUGAUCGGCCACAUUGGGACUGAGACACGGCCCAAACUCCUACGGGAGGCAGCAGUAGGGAAUCUUCCACAAUGGACGCAAGUCUGAUGGAGCAACGCCGCGUGAGUGAAGAAGGCUUUCGGGUCGUAAAACUCUGUUGUUGGAGAAGAAUGGUCGGCAGAGUAACUGUUGUCGGCGUGACGGUAUCCAACCAGAAAGCCACGGCUAACUACGUGCCAGCAGCCGCGGUAAUACGUAGGUGGCAAGCGUUAUCCGGAUUUAUUGGGCGUAAAGCGAGCGCAGGCGGUUUUUUAAGUCUGAUGUGAAAGCCCUCGGCUUAACCGAGGAAGCGCAUCGGAAACUGGGAAACUUGAGUGCAGAAGAGGACAGUGGAACUCCAUGUGUAGCGGUGAAAUGCGUAGAUAUAUGGAAGAACACCAGUGGCGAAGGCGGCUGUCUGGUCUGUAACUGACGCUGAGGCUCGAAAGCAUGGGUAGCGAACAGGAUUAGAUACCCUGGUAGUCCAUGCCGUAAACGAUGAAUGCUAGGUGUUGGAGGGUUUCCGCCCUUCAGUGCCGCAGCUAACGCAUUAAGCAUUCCGCCUGGGGAGUACGACCGCAAGGUUGAAACUCAAAGGAAUUGACGGGGGCCCGCACAAGCGGUGGAGCAUGUGGUUUAAUUCGAAGCAACGCGAAGAACCUUACCAGGUCUUGACAUCUUUUGAUCACCUGAGAGAUCAGGUUUCCCCUUCGGGGGCAAAAUGACAGGUGGUGCAUGGUUGUCGUCAGCUCGUGUCGUGAGAUGUUGGGUUAAGUCCCGCAACGAGCGCAACCCUUAUGACUAGUUGCCAGCAUUUAGUUGGGCACUCUAGUAAGACUGCCGGUGACAAACCGGAGGAAGGUGGGGAUGACGUCAAAUCAUCAUGCCCCUUAUGACCUGGGCUACACACGUGCUACAAUGGAUGGUACAACGAGUUGCGAGACCGCGAGGUCAAGCUAAUCUCUUAAAGCCAUUCUCAGUUCGGACUGUAGGCUGCAACUCGCCUACACGAAGUCGGAAUCGCUAGUAAUCGCGGAUCAGCACGCCGCGGUGAAUACGUUCCCGGGCCUUGUACACACCGCCCGUCACACCAUGAGAGUUUGUAACACCCGAAGCCGGUGGCGUAACCCUUUUAGGGAGCGAGCCGUCUAAGGUGGGACAAAUGAUUAGGGUGAAGUCGUAACAGG
rnacentral:rRNA from 1 species